GAUGAACGCUGGCGGCGUGCCUAAUACAUGCAAGUCGAGCGAACAGACGAUGAGCUUGCUCCUCUGACGUUAGCGGCGGACGGGUGAGUAACACGUGGAUAACCUACCUAUAAGACUGGGAUAACUUCGGGAAACCGGAGCUAAUACCGGAUAAUAUAUUGAACCGCAUGGUUCAAUAGUGAAAGACGGUUUUGCUGUCACUUAUAGAUGGAUCCGCGCCGCAUUAGCUAGUUGGUAAGGUAACGGCUUACCAAGGCAACGAUGCGUAGCCGACCUGAGAGGGUGAUCGGCCACACUGGAACUGAGACACGGUCCAGACUCCUACGGGAGGCAGCAGUAGGGAAUCUUACGCAAUGGGCGAAAGCCUGACGGAGCAACGCCGCGUGAGUGAUGAAGGUCUUCGGAUCGUAAAACUCUGUUAUUAGGGAAGAACAAAUGUGUAAGUAACUAUGCACGUCUUGACGGUACCUAAUCAGAAAGCCACGGCUAACUACGUG
rnacentral:rRNA from 1 species